AAACUGGGUGCCACACAGGAAAGCGAAGGGGUUUGGGACGGUUGCCAACAAACUUCCCUCUAUGUUCUGGGCUGAUGAGAAACAUGACACAUUUACCUGUCUAUCCAACAACAAAAUAUGUGUCAUUUAAAAACACACGUGAGGUGGAGCAACACGGUUAGCUUCCCUGGCAACAGCCAUUUUAUGAAGAACAGCGGAGGCGUGUCGGAGCGAACAGAAAGCAGAGAAAGCUGCGAGUUAAUGUGGACAGAAAACCGCUGUGCUGCACGGCGUCCAAAAAACAACAUGAAUGAGGACAGAUCAGUUGACAUCGCCACGAUGUCGUUCCAGUUUUAACCGCACGGGGGAGGCAGAGGUUAACAAAUGAAUAAUAAAUAAACCAGCCACUAAAAAUUCUUUCACAUACUAAACAUUGUAUUCUUGCAUUACCUAAAGAUUUCGACUGCUAUUUCAACUUUUACAUCACAAUUCGUAUGAUUGUUGUUUUGAUUUAACGGGCUAUUCCAGCAACUUAGCAUUGCAUCAUCAAUCAGUUUGGGGCCUUCAAAGAGAUAGUAAAAGGUCAAAAUCAAAGCAUCCGAGGCUGAAAUACUCUGGCUUUCGGUCCAUAGCAAUGGUCCAAUCCAAAAACAUUCAAUCCCAUAAUCAUCAUAAUGCAUUUAUAACAAGAAAGUCAACAAUUAUGACAUUACAGUGUGCCUCCAAGAUUGCUUAGUUGAGAGAAGGGUCCUUAUAUUUCCUCAUAUUUCAAACAUGAUUAUAGUACUGUGCACAACGGACAGAUCUACAUAGAAAUACUUCCCGCGUUUGUGGAAGAAAACAGGCCUGCAGAGAGCCCUAACCUCAACCCCAUCCAACACUUUCAGGGUGAACGCAGGGCUUUAUAGUCCAACCUGGACCUCUCUGAUGCUCCCCUUGUGGCUGAUUGGGAACAAGUAGCUGAAACCAGGCUCCAGAAUCUUGUGCAAAACCUGAAACUAGAAGAGUGGGGCCGUUAUAGCAGACUGGACAUUAUGAGUUGUGAGAUUUCAUUUGGGGAAGCAGCCAGUCAGCAAACGCAGAGAGUGAGAAAGAGCUUUAAAAGCCCACUUAAACAUACAGGCGUCUGUAUUAUGCGUGUUUACUAAUGAUGCUCUCUGUUUGUUGUCAUCUGUCUAAUGUGGUGUUUGCUCUCAUGUGCAAAUUGUCUGCACUGUCAUGCUCACCUAAUGGCUGAGAGAGAGAGAGAGAGGACAUCAUAAAAAGAUAUUAAAGGGGUAAAGACAAUUGGAUUACCUUUCUUGUUGGUAAUGGACCUGGGCCCAAUAAAGACUCUUUAAUGGGAGUCUUUGACAGGAGGCUGUGGGAGCUAAUGGCCUGGUGUCUCUCCUCUCCCAUGUAUGGCUCAUGAGUGGAGGAGAAUGCUGAUUGUGUGCCGACUGAUUGACUUUAAAAGUGGAAGAUGAUGAAGCACUGAAACAUUAACAGGUUUUUCACUUUGCAAUUUAGAGGUUUAUGUCAUCGAGGAAAUGCCUCUAAGAGGCAAUAACAUGUAAAGUGGUCUCUCAGUGUAUUCAAAAUUGUCCCUGCACCUCUCUCUCCCUGUCUCAGAGCUUGUGAGACAUCCCAUGAGACUCGAGGAAAUGGGCCACUUCAGCCAUGAAUAAAUCACUGCAGGGUAAAAGCUACCCAAAUUUGUAUGUGUUGUCAGAUAAAAUGAUUAUGAUAUUAACUUUUAGUAAAAGUGUGCUUUAGUGCCAUCAGUCACAGACACAAUUAAAGUUAUAAAAAAGAAACACAGAAGGUGACAUGAGAGGAGGAUCAUAGAGCUCCAAGUUCAUCUUUCUCUGAGCGGAGUAAAGAAUGGAUUAAAGAGAGACAGAGACUGUAUUAACUGAAAACAUGACAGAAAGGCUAUCAGGUUGUAGUGCAGGGGGAGGGAAGGCAGCGGUGUGUCGACUGGGCAUGAUGGAGCAAGAGACGACUAUUCCAGACAUCUUCAACUGACCAACCAACUGGCUCGUUUCAGUGACCAUUGGAGCACGUUGUGGUCAUGUUAGUCUUGUUUCAGUGAGACAUUGGGAGCCCCCCAAACCACAUGUUUUGAGGGAAAAUAUCUUCUCCUCACCCUGACUGUUUUUACUGCCUAAACCUAA